rnacentral:lncRNA from 1 species
CAAGACAAAUCAACCAAAAAAUAUCUCAAAUAGAUUAAAUCUCUGCCGUCGAUCUUAUCCAAUGGUCCAUAAUAAAACUAGACAAGCACAAUCUAUGUGAAUUACACAAAUAGCACUUAAGUCUAAUGGAGUUAAGACAAUCAUAUUCUCACAGUAUUGAACACGACUAGAUAGAAUUGAGAAAGAUGUAGAUAGAUUUGCAUUGUUUGUCACUUACAUAAGCUCAAAAGUCAAUUUUUACAUGUUGCUUUGUAUCUAUAUUAAUUUAGCUGAGAUCAGAACUCUCUGCAACUAUUUCACUAAACUGUACAAAGAUUUUCAGACUUUACCCAACACCCUAAAGGUCCUACAUACAUAUUUCCUGUAUCUAUUCCAACACUAUCUGCUUGAUUGUGAAUUGCUUAAUAUCAAUCAGUCAUGCCAGCAGAGCAGCAGCACUGUACAUCUCCAUAUGAUGUAAAGCUUUGCCUUCUGUUCUCUAAUCUGCUUAGAUAAUCUAUGAGUCGACCGGAGCAUCGAACUUCUCAAUGUUGCUGCCAUGAUUGAUAACAGAGUUUUUUUUUUUUCUUUAAGGGCUUUUCAGAAAACCUGAGCUUUGGGCUGGAAAGUAUUUGAAAUUCUAUUUGUGGGGAUGGAGAGUUUCUUUAGUUCUUUUGGUUUAUAUAAGAGAAAUAUUCAAGAUCUGAAAGCAGGAAAUUGUGGUGAACGACAAUCUAUGGCCCCUUUUAUGUAGGGUCGUUCAAUUAAGAUAACGAAGUAAACUUGUAGAUUGUCUCCUUGCCAACCCUACUCGAAAGUGACUUGUUAUCAACUUCUCCAGGUUGAAGGCCAUCACUUGUCAUCCCCCACCUCGCCGUAUUAGUCCAUAUGGAGUGUAAUCAUCGUGUGUACUUACCUUCUCGAUUGCAGUUAUACAAGCUCUUUUACACUAAGAAUUUCAAUGUGUUGGUUUCUUUAGACGUGAGAUGCUUGUGAGAUCACCGUACACUAUUUUUUUCAAAAUAGAGAAAAUUCGUAGUGGCAAAGUGCAGUGAAUCACUAUUUGUUAGUUUGCUGUGUGUGUUUUAUCUUUUAUUCAUUAUUAUUCUCGUAAUUAGGCAUAAAGAAUUGAGAUGUGCUACAUGUAUUUUUUUCCCCCCAUCUAUAAUCUUCUUUGUCAAUGAGGGUGUACAAAUAGCAAAACUCUAAGGAAAUUAUCUCCAAACCACCCCCAAGAUAAGUAUGUUGUCCAAAUACUCAUGGUCAAAAAUGAAUAAUGCAGUUAUUAAAUUUACCUAAUAUUAUAUUUUUCUUUUUAUGUCUAGGCUAGAAUUAAAUGGGGAAAUAAAAUAGGCAAAAGAGCUGAACAAGCUGACAGGAUAAUUUGAGAUGUAUAGAGAACAAUAAAAUAUUGUUGUGUAACUCGAUUGCCUUAACAACAUACGACAUUUGAUUCAAUUUUUCACAAAAAUUCUUCCUUGUCCCGUACCUAUUGGGUAUUGGUUCAUUUUGCGAAACAAGGUUAUUAGUUGUUUCUUUUUCUAUAAGGAUAAUUUAAAAACUCUAGUUCUAUUUAGUUUACUUAUUAGCUUGUUAUUCUUCAUAAAUAUUGUGUACAUAGAGGUUUAAUCUGUAAAUAAAAGGUUGUAAAAUAAGCUCGAAAGAACUCAUCCUAUAAGGAUUUCUUGAAGAAACUCCUAAAAAUAUCAUAUAGAGGUUGCUGAGUUCGACUCAGACUGAUCAUUAUGCAUUAUUAUAUGGUAUAUUUUUUGUGUAUUUUACACUUAAGAAUGAUGAUCAUUUUCAUUGAUCGUAAAAAAAAAUGUUAUAUGUAGAACUGAACUCAAUCCGAAUUGAAUGGUUUCACUUACGAAAUAUGCAAUGUAUAAUGAGUGAUUUCUGAUAUUGAAAUACCUUAACUGACUAUCUAUUUUCGUAGGAGUAGGUCACCACCACUUCUAUCCUAUGCUACACUAACACGUUGACAUUGAAAUAUCAAUGACUAGGCAUGUCUCAACCUGACAAUCAUCACGUGCACCGUGUCACAUUAAAUUCAACGAGAUUAUGCUCCAAGUCAAUGUUCCUACAUUAAUUGCAAUUUUCAAAUGGGCCCAAAUGUGAGCCCUCUAGCAGACAUCGUGGGUCUCUUAUCUAGCACUAUUAAAGACUUAAUACCACGACAUCUGUAUUGGGCCAUUGCCUCAUGGGCCCAUAUUGCAUAUCAUGCAAUGUCAAGGGCCCAUUCCCACGUGAUCGUGCUGAAUCAAAGAGCAGCAUGUGAAGAUUCCAAACCUUAUCUCAACAGAAAAAAGAUUAAGGUGUACCACGUGCUAUGUUGUUUGUAUCAUACAUAAAGUUGUGGUUUAAAAAAUAAAAAAGUACAAAUUAGAAAAGUUUGUAUUAUACACAGAUCUGAAAAUAGUACAUCAAGAACAUAUUAUUUACAUGAAUCCCCUAAGACUACAGCAUCAAGUGAAAAUCCUUUAAGGCUCGGACCAAGACUCCAUAACAAACAUCACAAAGACACCAAAUCUUAACCGCGAGCUCUCACAAUCCCAAAUCUACAGAGUUACUUCAACAGGACACAGAAUGAACAAAACCCCUUCGAUACAAAGAUUUCACAUAGAGAAGAAUCAUCCAAAGAAUGAAGAUCACAGGGAUGAUUCUUCAGAAUCUCACACAGAGAGAUCGAAGAAGAACAAAACUGAAAAACCCUAGUGAAGGUUCCAGAACACGGCUCACAGAAGAGAGAAAAAUGAAAAAUGACUGCCAACCCUAAAAAUGAGAAAGGGAUAUAUUUAUAGUAGAAAACAUCAGCCAUCAGAUUAAUGGGUUGAUCCAACGGUCCCAGAGCAACUACGAGAAUGGGCCGAGUAUUGGGCUCGGUUAAGCGGGUCGUCUAAGUUUAAAAGAGUGGAUCAAUCUGCUCUUUAUCUAUUCGGCCUGGAAUUUAUCAUCAUUGCCUACAAUUGGACUGAUCAUGUUGGCAUCACAGUCCAAUAGAUCUCCACCUUGAUGCCAAUGGUCAUACAAGAAGUCUAAUGAAAGUAAAACACAAGUUAUAUCUCUCUAAAAAUGUAGCUUCCCAGUACUUCCAAUAAGCAUCAGUUUCAGCACCUGUACAGAACCAAAAAUAUCUAACCAGCAUCAAUAUUCAAAAUUUGUAAACAAGACUUAAACUUGUUUAUUGGUAUUACCUUAGUCCCUACAUCAGCUGGAUUAAACUGAGUUGCAAUUUUCUCAAGUAAAAUAAGUUCUUUUGAAACAAUAUCUCUAAUAAAAUGCAACUUAACAUCAAUAUGUUUGGUUCUUUCAUGAAAAACAGGGUUUUUACAUAGGUGAAUUGCACUUUGACUAUCUGAAUAUAAGACAACAGGGUUACUUAACUCAUUUAUUUCAGAUAACAAGCCCUUAAGCCAUAAGGCUUCUUUUAUUGUUUCAGUUGCGGCAACAUACUCAGCUUCAGUAGUAAAUAAAGCAACAAUAGGUUGAAGUUGAGAUUUCCAACUAAUACAUGUAUUACACAAAGUAAACAUAUAAGAAGUAGUAGAUUUCUUAUUGUCUCUAUUUCCGACAAAAUCUGAAUCUACAAAACCCUUAAGUACAACACCUUCAUUUCAGGCACUAAAAAUCAAUCCAACAUGUGAAGAUCCUUUCAAGUAUCUCAACAGUCAUUUUAGAGCAACCCAAUGGUCAGGUCCUGGAUUUGCCAUAAAUCUACUAAGUGUGCUAAUGGAAUGAGGUACAUCAGGCCUAGUAUAUACCAUAGUGUACAUAAUAGAACCUACGACAUUAGCAUAGGGUGCAUUUUUCAUUUGUCUAAUGUCAGAUUCAUUUACAGGACAUUGCUCCUUACUGAGUUUAAAAUGGCUGGCCAAUGGAAGUGAAACUGAUUUAGAGUUAUGCAUGGCAAACUUAAUCAACAUUUUUUCAAUAUAUGCAGUUUGCUUUAAGUAUAUUAACCUAUGGUGCCUUUUUUCUAGUGAUUUCUAGAAUUCUCUUUGCAUGUCCUAGGUCUUUCAUUUCAAAUUCAGCAUUUAAAGACCGUUUUAUCUGAUUAAUAACAUGCAUAUUCUGACUAAUCAGCAACAUAUCAUCCAUAUAAAGGAGUAUAAAAGCAACAAUAGCAUUUUCAUCAUUUCUUUUAAAAUAAAGACAAUGAUCAUACUCACUUCUCAUGAAACCAAUAGUAGAUACAAAAUUAUCAAACCUUUUGUACCAUUGUCGUGGAGAUUGUUUUAAGCCAUAUAAUGAUCUUUUUAACAAGCACACAUGAUCAGAUUUAAUUUUAUCAAUGAAACCAGGUGGCUGUCUCAUAUAAAUCACUUCAUCAAGGUCACCAUGUAAGAAGACAAUUUUUACAUCCAUUUGUUCAAGUUCAAGAUCAUAAUGAGCAACAAAAGCAAGCAUAACUCUAAUUGUUGUGUACUUUAUCACAGGUAAAAAUAUCUCAUUAUAAUCUAUGCCCUCCUUUUGUGUAAAACCUUUUGCUACAAGUUUAGUCUUAAAUCUUAUGGGCAUCUUUUCAGUAUUUCCCUCCUUAAUACUAAAGAUCCACUUGCAAUCAACAAGGGCCUUACUUGCAGGUUUAGGAACUAAAGUCCAAGUCUCAUUUUUCAUUAAGGAGUCCAUUUCAUCUAUCAUAGCAGCAUGCCAAUUCUCAGAUUGUUGGCAGCUCAUAGCCUCUUCAUAAGAUUUAGGUUCUUUAAACACUAAGUCUUGAUAGGACAAAACAGCAAGAGAAAGGUAAUCACCAUACCUAACUGGCUCUCUUACUUCUCUCCUAGUCCUAUCUCUAGCUAAUUGGUAAUCCCCCAAUUCAUCAGGCCGACUUUCCAGAUUUUCUUGAACACUUUCUUCUUCAUUUUCUUGAGGAACAGAAGUUGUUCCAGUUUCUUCCUCCACCUGUUCAUCACCAACAGGUUCAGUAGGUGAGCCAAGCUCCACCUGCAGUUUGGUAUUAUCACCCUUUUCAUCACCAGAUAGCCCCUUUGGCUCCUUAUUUUCCAAACAAGGCAUUUUUGACUCAUCAAAGAUCACAUCUCUGCUGGUGAUGAUUUUAAAACCUUUUACCUCUUUACUCCAAAGCCUAUAGCCUUUAAUCCCAUCAGGAUAUCCUAAGAAAACACAUUUCUGAGACCUAGGUUCAAAUUUUCCUAUACUCUGAUGGGAGUUGGCACCACAGCCAAAAAUUCUUAAAUGAGAAUAAUCAGGAACAUGUCCUGUCCAUAGCUCUUCAGGUGUUUUAUCACCUAGAGCACUUGAGGGGGUUCUAUUAACAAUGUAUGAAGUUGUUACUACAACUUCACCCCAUAAGACCUUAGGAACUCCUGAGCCUAUCAACAUGCACCUAACCUUAUAUAACAAGGUUCUAUUCAUUCUCUCAGCCACUCCAUUCUGCUGAGGUGUAUAAGGUACUGCUUUAUGCCUUUUAAUCCCAGCACUUUUGCACAAUUGAUCAAAUUCAGCAUUGCAAAACUCAAGACCAUUGUCUGUCCUAAGGACCUUAAUUUUCUUCCCAGUUUCAUUUUCCACCAGAAUUUUCCAAGUUCUAAAUUUUUCAAAGGUUUCAGAUUUAUAUUUUAACAAAUAAACCUAAACCUUCCUAAAAUAGUCAUCAAUCAAGGACAAGAAAUAUUUAUUUCCUCCUUGAGUGAUGGUAGAUGAAGGUCCCCACAAAUCAGCGUGUAUAUACUCAAGGGUAGAGGUGGUUCUAUGUUUUCCUGUGUUAAAAUGCAGCCUAUGCUGCUUACCUAAGGUGCAGUUUUCACAAAAGGACACUUUAGAUAUAGAGUCUUUUCCAAACACACCUUUCUUAUAAAGGAUGUGUAGGCCCUUUUCACCUACAUGGGCCAAUCUCUUGUGCCAUUUUAAAGUGGCAUCAACUUCAACACUUGAAGACUCACCUAUGUGAUCAUACACUGUACUAGCUUUGAUCACAUAAAUUCUAUUUUUUUUAACACCUUUAAAAAUAACAAGUGAUACUUUUAUCACCUUCAAAAAACCAUCUCCUAUUUUUUCCUUGCAGCCCCAUAUCAUCCAGAUUUCCCAUGGAAAUCAGGUUCCUAUUUAAUUCAAGUACAUAUCUCACCCUUUCAAGGGUGUAAAUGUAUCCAUUAUCAAAUUUUAAAGUGACAUUCCCAACCCCUCAACUCUGCAGGCUAUGUUAUUGCCCAUAACUACUCUUCCUCCAUCAAUUUUUUUAAAAUUUUCUAAAUAUGCCCUUUUGGAGGUCAUAUGGAAGGUACAACCAGAAUCCAAAAUCCAUUCUUGGUUUUGGUUCUCAUCAACCAUAUUUACAGAGUUAGGUAGAUUUUCAGUCACAGCAUAUACAUCAAUUGUGGUAGAACUAUCAGAUUCUACCACAUUACCCUCAUCAACACCCUUGCCUUUUUGUUCAUUUUUCUUUUUAUAACAGUCUUUGAUAAAAUGACCAGAUUUCCCACACCCAUAACAUUUUUUAGUCCAAGUCUUUGACUUAGACCUGCCUCUACUUUUAAACUUUCUCCUAUUAUUGUUUCCUUGAUUAUUAUAGCUUUUAUGAGUACCACUAGACCUACUUAAAGUCCUCCUUCUAGCAAACAAGUUUUCAUGGGCACUAUUACCUCUCUCAGACUUAAGUUCAAGUUCCUUACUUCUUAAUGAAUCUAUAACAAUGUCAGGUGUUAGAGUAUCUCUACCAUACUUAAUGGCAGCUUUCACCUCUUUGUAGGCUUCAGGUAUAGCAUUAAGUAGUACUACCGCUUUAUACUCAUCAGAAACUUUUUCACGAGUAUUGAUAAUGUCUUGAACUAACUUAUUAAAAAUGUCUAAGCUAUCUUCUAAGUUUCUAGUUGGAUCUAUCCUAAAGCUGAAAAAUUUCUCUAAUAGAAACAACUUAUUAGGCAAAGACUUAGGUAGGUAAAGUUUCUCUAAUUCAUCCCAUAGGUCCUUAACAGUAUCAUAUUUGCCUACUUUUCUUAAAACUUGAUCAGACAAAUGCAAAAUAAUGGAGGUAUAAGCAAGUUCAUCAGAUUCUUCCUUUUGAUCAUCUGUCAUGGUAUCAAGAAAUUCAUCUAUUAUUGCUUUAGAAACUUUUUGUUGAACUAAAACACCUCGUAUUUUUUGUUACCAAAUGGGAAAAUCCCCUUUUCCAUCAAAAACACCAAGUUCAAAAGAUUUUGUCAUGUUUUAUUAUUUUGAAGGAAAAAAACUAAAACACAGUGUUUCCCCUGCAGUAAAAAUUGUUAUAACAAAUGACAGUUUCCAGAUCAAUCUCGGUUGAAACAAAACGGAACUUAUGUUCUCAAGCAGUGUUAUUUUUUCUGUUUCAUAAUUCGUCUUAAUGGCAGGAGUAAUUAGACAAACUGUUCAUCUUUAUGAUAGCUAAAAUACUUUCGCUAAGUUAGUCUUUUUUUAUUGGACAUCUACAUCUAAAAUUUAAAGCCUGUUUGUUUCUUCCAGCAGCGUGUGUUGAAUUUCUUAUUCUAUGACUUCCAGAUUCCGUUGUUAUUGUCUCUCUAUUUUUUAGUUGAAUUGCUGCACAAGUCAUAUGUUUACAUUUGAAUGGAGAAGUUUACUUCUCCUUGAAUUAACUUACAUAUAUUUCCUGGCUGCUUAAGUCCGCUUGUCCUAAUUUCUCAAAAUUUUUUUAACUGUAUGGGAUAAGCGUUUCGUGCUCUAUUAUACUAUAUUCUUUUAUGCCUGUGAUUGCUAACUUAUUCCCAAGUUGAUAGUUAGAGGUAAUCUAAACUGAUGGAGCAUUCUCCUCCCCUAUCCCUCCCUUUCUUCUAGAGGAGAGAUAGCUGUCAUAUGUCAGGAUGUGAGGCUACUAAAAGAGAAGUUUGAUGAACGAGUUCCAUUUAGCAAAUCUCUUUCUUCCAGCCAGACAAGCUGCAGAUUAGCUUCUUCUACCUCAUCUUCCAGAAGUUUGGUUCUUCUCCAGACGGAACGGGAACAGGGAUCUGACGGUGCUGAUUCAUUAGAGAACCCAAAGAGAGAUCUGGUACGUUGUUUUGACGAGCAGCUCUCUGGAGAAGACGCUACAAGAGAUGACAGCAAAGCCCUUGUAGAAGAGGGAUGGGAAAUUUUCGACAGCCGUGAUGUUUACGUGUGAGUCUAUAUUUGACAUUCAGUUGACAGGAGCAUGUGUGAAGUUUCGUCCUUCCAUACCUGCUUCUUAGUUCCCUGCUUCCAGAUUUUGUUUUUUGAAAAUAAAUCUAGUUGUUCCUGCAGUUGUUUUGAAAUGUUCAUCUUCAGUCUGUUCCACAUGUUGCAUUGUUGUAUUCUAUGGAUUCUAGAUUGAAUGAAGAAAAAGCUGAAUUAUAUGUGCUGUAUCAAGAAUCUCUGAAACUAAUUUGUGUCAUUUCAAGAAGCAAGAAAGUAUUGCGUCACCAGUUCUUGAGUCUCGUGAACAAUAACUGUAGUAAUUAGCUGCUUUUCAUGUGGCCACUUGCUCGGAUAUUCUACUUAUGAAGUUUCAGAAGAAUUUCCCAAAACCAUGCAGACGCAUUAUUCCUUCGGAAUGGGAGGCUUUACAAGUGUAGAAAGAAGUAAUUUUGUGUUUUUACUUUUUCCUCAGAUGAGUGCUAUAUUCCUUGAUGAGCAAUCAGUUGCUUGACCAUGUGUUGCACUUAGAUGUUAUUCCAAUGCCUAAUGUGGCAGACGCUUAGCUGACUAGACAUUUGAGUAUCUUGGCCAAUGGUAGCCGAGGCCACGGACUCCCAGUUCUCUGUCAGACCUUGUGUUGGCUUUGUUUGUGGUUAGACAAUCCUUGCAGGUCAUGGCUUCUUGUAUAGCUGUAUUAUCGUCAUAAACCUCCAUAUCUAAAUGCCAAUGUAUAUCCACAUGAUGUAAAGGAAGACGAAGUCUAAAAAUUUAGUUGAAUCUGUCUUCUUAAACAUUAACAUAAGCUCUAAUGUUAUGUGUCGAACAGCAUUAGCCCUCUUUUUGGUGGCCAAUCAAUGUGACGUGUGAUUGAGUGUGCGGCUUGGGCUAAUGUCUUCAAUUCAAGUUGUUAAUAAGGAGUCAAAGGGGACCGUUUGAUGGUUGCCGGAUGCUCUGUGUUCACUCAUUCAAAUUUUAAAUUCAAUUACUUUUAAAUUUGAUUGCGCAUUACAGUCUGUUGCAACAUGUAAACACACAGUGUGCACAGGGCUAGAAAGGAGAAGCAAAAAUUUGCAUGUCUAAUAUACCGUAUUUGUUGGGAUCCUUGGAGUUCAAUCAAACAAUAAUCAUCAAUCAAUAAAGGAUUUCAAGGCUAAAUCAAAGAAAAUAAAAUGGAACAAUACAACCCGAUCUUUGCCGAAUCUGGACAACAACUUCUCCUUGCUCUUAUGGCUAAUUUAGGCUCAGGAACAGCUCCAUGUCAUGCAAGUCACCUUCCACAGAGAGAGAGAAAAAUCGGCAAAGAACCUCAACCUUCUACCAAGCAGCCACCGGACCCUCUACCUUCAAACAAACCGAGCCAGCAAAAAAUGGAGAGAGAGUUGACCUAAGAAGAGAAGAAACGACCUGUCUACCAAAAACGUGGGGGGGGGGGGGGGANCUGUCCAAAAAAAGGGGGGGGGGGGGGGGGGGAGCCUUUUUUGUGUCAACCAUCAAGUCCAUCAAGUCAAAACAUAUCCCCCAAGACAAGUCAACCAAAAAAUAUCUCAAAUAGAUUAAAUCUCUGUCGUCGAUCUCAUCCAAUGGUCCAUAAUAAAACUAGACAAGCACAAUCUAUGUGAAUUACACAAAUAGCACUUAAGUGUAAUGGAGUUAAGAGAACCAUAUUCUCACAGUAUUGAACACGACUAGAUAGAAUUGAGAAAGAUGUAGAUAGAUUUGCAUUGUUUGUCACUUACAUAAGCUCAAAAGCCAAUUUUUACAUGUUGCUUUGUAUCUAUAUUAAUUUAGCUGAGAUCAGAACUCUCUGCAACUAUUUCACUAAACUGUACAAAGAUUUUCAGACUUUACCCAACACCCUAAAGGUCCUACAUACAUAUUUGCUGUAUCUAUUCCAACACUAUCUGCUUGAUUGUGAAUUGCUUAAUAUCAAUCAGUCAUGCCAGCAGAGCAGCAGCACUGUACAUCUCCAUAUGAUGUAAAGCUUUGCCUUCUGUUCUCUAAUCUGCUUAGAUAAUCUAUGAGUCGACCGGAGCAUCGAACUUCUCAAUGUUGCUGCCAUGAUUGAUAACAGAGUUUUUUUUUUCUUUAAGGGCUUUUCAGAAAACCUGAGCUUUGGGCUGGAAAGUAUUUGAAAUUCUAUUUGUGGGGAUGGAGAGUUUCUUUAGUUCUUUUGGUUUAUAUAAGAGAAAUAUUCAAGAUCUGAAAGCAGGAAAUUGUGGUGAACGACAAUCUAUGGCCCCUUUUAUGUAGGGACGUUCAAUUAAGAUAACGAAGUAAACUUGCAGAUUGUCUCCUUGCCAACCCUACUCGAAAGUGACUUGUUAUCAACUUCUCCAGGUUGAAGGCCAUCACUUGUCAUCCACCACCUCGCCGUAUUAGUCCAUAUGGAGUGUAAUCAUUGUGUGUACUUACCUUCUCGAUUGCAGUUAUACAAGCUCUUUUACACUAAUAUUCUCGAAUUUCAAUGUGUUGGUUUCUUUAGACGUGAGAUGCUUGUGAGAUCACCGUACACUAUUUUUUUCAAAAUAGAGAAAAUUCGUAGUGGCAAAGUGCAGUGAAUCACUAUUUGUUAGUUUGCUGUGUGUGUUUUAUCUUUUAUUCAUUAUUAUUCUCGUAAUUAGGCAUAAAGAAUUGAGAUGUGCUACAUGUAUUUUUUCCCCCCAUCUAUAAUCUUUUUUGUCAAGGAGGGUGUACAAAUAGCAAAACUUUAAAGAAAU